AUUGAACGCUGGCGGCAGGCCUAACACAUGCAAGUCGAGCGGAUGACGGGAGCUUGCUCCUUGAUUCAGCGGCGGACGGGUGAGUAAUGCCUAGGAAUCUGCCUGGUAGUGGGGGACAACGUUCCGAAAGGAACGCUAAUACCGCAUACGUCCUACGGGAGAAAGCAGGGGACCUUCGGGCCUUGCGCUAUCAGAUGAGCCUAGGUCGGAUUAGCUAGUAGGUGAGGUAAUGGCUCACCUAGGCGACGAGCCGUAACUGGUCUGAGAGGAUGAUCAGUCACACUGGAACUGAGACACGGUCCAGACUCCUACGGGAGGCAGCAGUGGGGAAUAUUGGACAAUGGGCGAAAGCCUGAUCCAGCCAUGCCGCGUGUGUGAAGAAGGUCUUCGGAUUGUAAAGCACUUUAAGUUGGGAGGAAGGGCAGUAAGCUAAUACCUUGCUGUUUUGACGUUACCGACAGAAUAAGCACCGGCUAACUCUGUGCCAGCCGCCGCAGUAAGAC
rnacentral:rRNA from 1 species